ACAGCUUUCUCUCGCACAUCGUC
rnacentral:miRNA from 1 species